GGCUGUAGCUCAGUGGUGAAGCCAUCCGCCUUGCAUGGAGAAGGUCCUUGGUUCAAUCCCAGGUAGGGCUG